GAUGAACGCUGGCGGCGUGCCUAAUACAUGCAAGUCGAGCGAACAGACGAGGAGCUUGCUCCUCUGACGUUAGCGGCGGACGGGUGAGUAACACGUGGAUAACCUACCUAUAAGACUGGGAUAACUUCGGGAAACCGGAGCUAAUACCGGAUAAUAUAUUGAACCGCAUGGUUCAAUAGUGAAAGACGGUUUUGCUGUCACUUAUAGAUGGAUCCGCGCCGCAUUAGCUAGUUGGUAAGGUAACGGCUUACCAAGGCAACGAUGCGUAGCCGACCUGAGAGGGUGAUCGGCCACAUGGGAACUUAGACACGGUCCAGACUCCUACGGGAGGCAGCAGUAGGGAAUCUUCCGCAAUGGGCGAAAGCCUGACGGAGCAACGCCGCGUGAGUGAUGAAGGUCUUCGGAUCGUAAAACUCUGUUAUUAGGGAAGAACAAAUGUGUAAGUAACUAUGCACGUCUUGACGGUACCUAAUCAGAAAGCCACGGCUAACUACGUG
rnacentral:rRNA from 1 species